GGGAAUUGCGGCUGCCUUUAACAUGCAGUCGAACGGUAACAGGGAGCUUGCUCCGCUGACGAGUGGCGAACGGGUGAGUAAUACAUCGGAACGUGCCCAGUAAUGGGGGAUAGCUCGGCGAAAGCCGGAUUAAUACCGCAUACGCCCUGAGGGGGAAAGUGGGGGACCGCAAGGCCUCACGUUAUUGGAGCGGCCGAUGGCUGAUUAGCUAGUUGGUAGGGUAAAGGCCUACCAAGGCGACGAUCAGUAGCUGGUCUGAGAGGACGAUCAGCCACACUGGGACUGAGACACGGCCCAGACUCCUACGGGAGGCAGCAGUGGGGAAUUUUGGACAAUGGGGGAAACCCUGAUCCAGCAAUGCCGCGUGUGCGAAGAAGGCCUUCGGGUUGUAAAGCACUUUUGUCAGGGAAGAAAUCCUUUGGGCUAAUACCCUAGGGGGAUGACGGUACCUGAAGAAUAAGCACCGGCUAACUACGUGCCAGCAGCCGCGGUAAUACGUAGGGUGCAAGCGUUAAUCGGAAUUACUGGGCGUAAAGCGUGCGCAGGCGGUUGUGUAAGACAGGUGUGAAAUCCCCGGGCUUAACCUGGGAAUUGCAUUUGUGACUGCACG
rnacentral:rRNA from 1 species